rnacentral:rRNA from 1 species
AUUGAACGCUGGCGGCAUGCCUUACACAUGCAAGUCGAACGGCAGCACGGGAGCAAUCCUGGUGGCGAGUGGCGAACGGGUGAGUAAUAUAUCGGAACGUGCCCAGUCGUGGGGGAUAACGUAGCGAAAGCUACGCUAAUACCGCAUACGAUCUAUGGAUGAAAGCGGGGGAUCGCAAGACCUCGCGCGAUUGGAGCGGCCGAUAUCAGAUUAGGUAGUUGGUGGGGUAAAAGCCUACCAAGCCUUCGAUCUGUAGCUGGUCUGAGAGGACGACCAGCCACACUGGAACUGAGACACGGUCCAGACUCCUACGGGAGGCAGCAGUGGGGAAUUUUGGACAAUGGGCGCAAGCCUGAUCCAGCAAUGCCGCGUGCAGGAUGGAGGCCUUCGGGUUGUAAACUGCUUUGUACGGAACGAAACGGCUCUUUCUAAUAAAGAGAGCUAAUGACGGUACCGUAAGAAUAAG